AGUUUGGAAAGGAGAAUGCAGCACUGCUGGCUAUGGAGCCCAUGGACUAAAGUGGGGGAGAGACAAGAGCAGUGCUGUGACGCUCAGGUGGAUCCUGGCUAGAACCAUGGUGCAGUUGGAAUCUCUUAAUCACAGGGAAGCUGCAGUUGUGAAUCUAGGGACCUAGAUAGGGGGAGACUUGGGGGGAAAAGACUCUCCAGUGAAAUCAAAAGCCACAGUAGAGCUGACAGAGCUCCCUGGCUCUGAGGUUACUGGACGGGGAACCAGGAACCCGAAGCUCUGGAUUGAGGGUGAAAUUGGAAACCCCAAGAGGGAAGGGUUUGGGCCUGAAAGGGCUGAAGUAGACUGUGUUUCUUAAAGACAUAAUACACUGAACACUGGGAAGGGAACUUAGUUGAAGUACUCUGUGCUGCUAACAUGUUAUUGGGACUGGAUAGCGGGGUGCCAGCAAGGACAUGCUUUACUAUGCAGUGGUGUACUCUGGGGUGGGACUCUGCCCUAGAGCCCUUCAUGCCCGUAUUCUCCCCUAUGGGCUGGACUGCAUAUUCCAUGAUCCACUGUGGUGACUCCCUGUGGCUGAGGUGCUGCAUUCCCAAACUCCCAGGGAUGCCUUUCCAAUUGCACAUGGCAUUUCUUUGCUCAGUUAAUUUUUUCAAAGGGAAUUCUAGAGCUGGAUUGGAUGCAGGUGGAACAAGUGUAAUUACCUUCUGCAUUGCCCCAGGCUGCAAAUGUUCCCUCUCAUGGACCAUUUAAGACCACAGCUACUUCAGCUGAAAUCCUGGAGAUGCUGCUUUGUCCUGUUGGUGCACUGGGAAGUCCCCAAAGUCAUCACCCAGAGAUUCCAGGGGAUUGGUGUCUGGGGGCACGGUGCUGCUGAAGAUACCAUCCUUUCACUGAGACACAUUAAAGACAAGGAUCAGGAGCUUGUUUCAAAAGACCUCAUGGAAAUUUCCAUAAAAGCAGAGGUUUAGCACUGGUGUCCUGGCCAAACUCUCAAAGUCAGAGAUCUCUUUCCAUUGAGAAGAGGAAGAGGACUGCAGGAGUAGACAAAGAUCCGUCCACGUUGAAACAAAAACAGGAUAGCACCCCUGACAAACAGGUCUCUGGUGUGCAAAGUGUGCAAACGUGUGCGAAAGUGAGCUGAUCACUGGCGGGCUGGUUUCACACCCUUGGGGCUAACAAACCAGAGGGGAAGAGUCUGUGUGUCUG